GGUUAGCUCAGUAGGCAGAGCGUUCGUCUCAUAAUCCACAAACUCUGAGGAAGCGAAAGGCCGUCAGUUCGAUCCUGA
rnacentral:tRNA from 1 species